AUAAUUUUUUCAAACAAAAAAAAAAUCUGUUCAAUUAUCAGUUAAUAUCUGAUUCGUCCCCCUCGGGACACUAUAUUAAAUGGAUUUUUCGAACAGGGAGUCGGAAAUGGGGCUUGCUCCGUCCGCUCACGCAUCGACCCGGUAUUGCAGUCCUCCGGGACGUGCCAAACAC
rnacentral:snRNA from 1 species